rnacentral:lncRNA from 1 species
AUCGUUACCCGAGCCCAGCGCCGGGCCAAUGUCCUAUCUCAGGGUUUCCCACGUCGCUCGCUCCUUGACGGCUGACCGACACUGGGUCUGAGGUGUAAGCGCUUUCCAGGCCCUUCCCUGGGGCUUGGAGGGGAAUGGCGCAAAGGACUUUUCUUACAAGCAGAGAGGUUGGACUCCUGAAAGCCUGGACAGUGUCAUCAUCUUCACCUGAAGAGUGGAAAAAUUCAAGCAAAGAGUUUCUCAGGAAAUGACCAAGUAAAACAUCUGGAGUAAGUCAGCAGGAUUCACAGUGACUCCCCCCAACCAGCUGGUGGUGUUUCUCUCUGAAAGCAGCGCUUGGUACCAGUGUGAACUCUCUUCCUUCAGAAGUCUCAUCAGGUGGACGUAAUACGAGGGUCUGGUCCCCCAUACCUUGAGGACUCCGCUGCCAUCUGACAAUUACAGACAAUCCAAUUGUCCUCAUCCUUGAGGACUCUGCUGCCAUCUGACAAUUAGAGACAGUCCAAAACAUGCCACACUUUGAUCCUAAACACAUUCCUGGCUUUGGUCACUUUUGAAAAG